GUCGUCACUUCAGCAGUACAUAUACUAAAAUUGGAACGAUACAGAGAAGAUUAGCAUGGCCCUGCACAAGGAUGAUAUGCAAAUUCAUGAAGCAUUAUAAAAUAAU
rnacentral:snRNA from 1 species